ensembl:lncRNA
CAAGAGAGGAAGCAGUACAUUUUGAGGGGCCUGGGAAAAGAGAUAUUGCCUGGAAUCUUUCAUGCACUAACCCAAGAGGAGCUGGAUUUUGAAAGGCGUGAGGAAAUGAGUGGCACCUAUCCUAACCUGCCAGGCCCCUACACUGGAUUGGUCUAUAGAGAAGACAGCUGACCUGAUCUCACCUUAAAAUGAUGCUCAAGCAGGAGAAACUACACUACACCAGGAUGAGAAGACGACAACAUCAGAGCCCCCAGAUCCCUUCAAUGCCUGACCAUGAGGAUCACAGGAACAGUGACUAGACAUUUUUAACAAAGGAAGAAAUCUCAGAACAGAGCAGAACACCAGGGCUCAGAGGAUCAAAGCCCCAGCCCAGCACCACAGAACUGAGAGCACUUCAGACACAGCCCCCAAGACCUUGAGAUAAGCUGGAAUGACAAUUCUGGACCUGCUCGGUCUCGGAGGCCAACUUCAUCCUGCUGCCCGGGCUGCCUUGUCCUUUUCCUGAUCCACUGUGGAGACCCUUCCCAGAGCUCCACAAAGGGUUAAGGACUGGCAUGCAAAGCCACG